rnacentral:rRNA from 1 species
GACGUAGGGCGCGAGCGUUGUCCGGAUUUAUUGGGCGUAAAGAGCUCGUAGGCGGUCUGUCGCGUCGGAUGUGAAAACCCAGGGCUCAACCCUGGGCCUGCAUUCGAUACGGGCAGACUAGAGUUCGGUAGGGGAGACUGGAAUUCCUGGUGUAGCGGUGAAAUGCGCAGAUAUCAGGAGGAACACCGGUGGCGAAGGCGGGUCUCUGGGCCGUAACUGACGCUGAGGAGCGAAAGCGUGGGGAGCGAACAGG